rnacentral:rRNA from 1 species
UGGGGAAUUUUGGACAAUGGGGGAAACCCUGAUCCAGCCAUCCCGCGUGUGCGAUGAAGGCCUUCGGGUUGUAAAGCACUUUUGGCAGGAAAGAAACGUCGCGGGUUAAUACCCCGCGAAACUGACGGUACCUGCAGAAUAAGCACCGGCUAACUACGUGCCAGCAGCCGCGGUAAUACGUAGGGUGCAAGCGUUAAUCGGAAUUACUGGGCGUAAAGCGUGCGCAGGCGGUUCGGAAAGAAAGAUGUGAAAUCCCAGAGCUUAACUUUGGAACUGCAUUUUUAACUACCGGGCUAGAGUGUGUCAGAGGGAGGUGGAAUUCCGCGUGUAGCAGUGAAAUGCGUAGAUAUGCGGAGGAACACCGAUGGCGAAGGCAGCCUCCUGGGAUAACACUGACGCUCAUGCACGAAAGCGUGGGGAGCAAACAGGAUUAGAUACCCUGGUAGUCCACGCCCUAAACGAUGUCAACUAGCUGUUGGGGCCUUCGGGCCUUGGUAGCGCAGCUAACGCGUGAAGUUGACCGCCUGGGGAGUACGGUCGCAAGGUUAAAACUCAAAUGAAUUGACGGGGUCAUAGCUGUUUCCU